rnacentral:tRNA from 1 species
AAUGAGGUGCCUGACUAAAGGAUUAUCUUGAUAGGAUAAAUAAAGUAAUCAAUAUUACCCUCAUUA